rnacentral:rRNA from 1 species
AUUGAACGCUGGCGGCAUGCUUUACACAUGCGAGUCGAACGGUAACAGGCCGCAAGGUGCUGACGAGUGGCGAGCGGGUGAGUAAUGCAUCGGAACGUGCCCAGUCGUGGGGGAUAACUACUCGAAAGAGUAGCUAAUACCGCAUACGAUCUAUGGAUGAAAGCGGGGGACCGUAAGGCCUCGCGCGAUUGGAGCGGCCGAUGUCAGAUUAGGUAGUUGGUGGGGUAAAGGCUCACCAAGCCAACGAUCUGUAGCUGGUCUGAGAGGACAACCAGCCACACUGGGACUGAGACACGGCCCAGACUCCUACGGGAGGCAGCAGUGGGGAAUUUUGGACAAUGGGCGCAAGCCUGAUCCAGCAAUGCCGCGUGCAGGAAGAAGGCCUUCGGGUUGUAAACUGCUUUUGUACGGAACGAAACGGCUCUGGUUAAUACCCGGGGCUAAUGACGGUACCGUAAGAAUAAGCACCGGCUAACUACGUG